GGAACCCAGGCCCUUCCGGUCCGGCAGCUCCUGCUGCGACUUGCAGCGUUUGGGGAAAGUUACUCACCAACUAGUCAUGCGCCUCGGAUGCCGCCGGCCACGGGGCUCCCGGAGGGGGGUCCGACACCGCCCGGUGCCCGGGAUCCCCAAUCUGGCCGGUGGAUGAGGCCCCAUCCCAUGCACCCGAGUGCGGGGGACGGGGGGGUUAAUAUUAAUUCAGGAUCCCAUCCCCACCCGAGGCAGGACACCCAGUGCACGCCCCAACUCCGGGACGCGGGCUCUGACCCUGGAACUUCCGAGAUUCCCGCGACGCCCCCUGUCUCUGGGUCCAGAACUUCGGGGGACACCUCUUCUGCCUCCUCCAACCCCAGAGAUGGGGUGUCACUAUGUUGCCCAGGCUGGUCUCCAACUCCUGGACUCAAGAGAUCUGCCUGCCUCAGCCUCUCAAAGGGCUGGGAUAACAGAUGUAAGCCACUGCAUCUGGCCUCCAAUGAGUUGUUAUGUGAAGAGAACGUGAUUAAGUUAGAGGACUCCAACCAGGCCUGAACUCUCAAGGACAGAAAUGGGUCCAACCUGGCAUGACAUCCUCUAAAUCUUUAGCUCCUGGCCUCUCAGGUGCCCCCUCCAGCUACCUCCCUCUUCCUUCUCUUCAUUCCCCAAGCCAUAGCUGGUUGGGCCAACCUCCAGACAUUAGCCUCUUUGCAAACUCCUAUUCAUCCCUCAAAGCCUCACCUUCAAUGCUCUCCUCCCCAAGAAGCUCUCUCCUCUACCUCUAGACCUUUUCCAGCCCUCUUCCCUCUUUCUGGCCCAGCCCUGACUCCUGGGAGUGUCUGUGUGCAGCUUUGACUCCCCCAGCCUGAGUGUCUCUCAAGGGCUGAGACCAGGGCCCAUGUUUCCCUAGAGUUUGUCAUCUUCCAGCAUAGUGUGGACGCAUGGGGGUCAGGCAAAGGGGGAGUUUGAUGACUCAGUACUAUUGGUGAUUUUGCAUCACUUGAAGGAGACCCUGCCUUAAAUUCAGAACUUGAAAAAAAAAAAAAAAAA
rnacentral:lncRNA from 1 species